CAGUCGCCACGGGAAUACGGAGGGGGCUAGCGUUGUUCGGAAUUACUGGGCGUAAAGCGCACGUAGGCGGCUUGGUAAGUUAGAGGUGAAAGCCUGGAGCUCAACUCCAGAAUUGCCUUUAAGACUGCCGAGCUAGCAGGUGAGAGAGGUAGGUGGAAUUCCGAGUGUAGAGGUGAAAUUCGUAGAUAUUCGGAAGAACACCAGUGGCGAAGGCGGCUUACUGGCUCAUACUGGACGCUGAGGUGCGAAAGCGUGGGGAGCAAACAGGAUUAGAUACCCCCGUAGUCCCUGUCUCUUAUAC
rnacentral:rRNA from 1 species